rnacentral:misc_RNA from 1 species
GAAAUGCGAUAAGUAGUGUGAAUUGCAGAAUUCAGUGAAUCAUCGAAUCUUUGAACGCACAUUGCGCCCUUUGGUAUUCCUUAGGGCAUGCCUGUUCGAGCGUCAUCUAAACCUUCAAGCCCUGCUUGGUGUUGGGUGCCUGUCCCGCCUCCGCGCGCGGACUCACCUCAAAUCCAUUGGCGGGCCCCGCGUCGGCCACGAGCGCAGCAGAAACGCGAACUCGUGAGCCCGUCCGGGCGGCUCCCAGAAGCUACACCCACCCAGUUUGACCUCGGAUCAGGUAGGGAUACCCGCUGAACUUAAGC